CAAGACCUCGCGCUCAUGGAGCGGCCGAUGUCGGAUUAGCUAGUUGGCGGGGUAAAGGCCCACCAAGGCGACGAUCCGUAGCUGGUUUGAGAGAACGACCAGCCACACUGGGACUGAGACACGGCCCAGACUCCUACGGGAGGCAGCAGUGGGGAAUUUUGGACAAUGGGGGCAACCCUGAUCCAGCCAUGCCGCGUGAGUGAAGAAGGCCUUCGGGUUGUAAAGCUCUUUCGGCCGGAACGAAAUCGCGUACGUGAAUAACGUGCGUGGAUGACGGUACUGGAAGAAGAAGCACCGGCUAACUACGUGCCAGCAGCCGCGGUAAUACGUAGGGUGCGAGCGUUAAUCGGAAUUACUGGGCGUAAAGCGUGCGUAGGCGGUUUCGCAAGUCAGAUGUGAAAUCCCCGGGCUUAACCUGGGAACU
rnacentral:rRNA from 1 species